CGAAGCUUAGUUUAAUAAACGGAAGUUUAAUCUAGUUUUAAUUUAAGGUCGGGGCUAAAUUUGUGCCAGCAGCCGCGGUUAUACCGGCACGGCUAGUAGGGGAAGUUAGGUUGGUAGUUAGGUUGGGGCGUAAAAUGAGACAGAGGUUGUGCAAUGAAAGGUGAAAUUUAGUUGAUCGUGUGCUGUCUAUUUUUAGGGCAAUGCCCAAGCUAUAAAGAUUUAAGUUUAAAAUAGGAUUAGAUACCCUAGUAUUUUUAAUUGCAAAAUUGUAGCCUGAUUAGUAUUAGUUAUGUUCUUGAAAUUUAAAGAAUUUGGCGGCACUUUAGCCCGGUUAGAGGAACCUGUCUUUUAAACGAUAAACCACGAAAUAUCUUACUUUCUUUUGUUAUUCCGUAUGUAUACCGUCAUAAUUUAAAACGAUUUUAAUAAAAAUCAGUUUAAAGAAACUUCUCAGUUUGUUAACUUAGAUCAAGGUGCAGCUAAUAAGAAAGUAAAGAUGGGUUACAUUAAAUUUAAUUUAGACGGAUAAGUGGAGGAAGAUUCUACGUUGAAGGAGGAUUUAACAGUAAUUAAGUAGUAACAAGGCUUGUUGAUGUCGGUUCUGAAGUGUGCACACAUCGCCCGUCGCUCUCAUGCAAAAUGUGAGAUAAGUCGUAACAGAGUAGGUGUACUGGAAAGUGCACCUAGAAAUUAAAAAU
rnacentral:rRNA from 1 species